UACGGAGGGGGCUAGCGUUGUUCGGAAUUACUGGGCGUAAAGCGCGCGUAGGCGGCUUUGUAAGUCAGAGGUGAAAUCCCGGGGCUCAACUCCGGAACUGCCUUUGAAACUGCAUCGCUUGAAUCCGGGAGAGGUGAGUGGAAUUCCGAGUGUAGAGGUGAAAUUCGUAGAUAUUCGGAAGAACACCAGUGGCGAAGGCGGCUCACUGGACCGGUAUUGACGCUGAGGUGCGAAAGCGUGGGGAGCAAACAGG
rnacentral:rRNA from 2 species